ACUCCUACGGGAGGCAGCAGUGGAGAAUAUUGCACAAUGGGCGCAAGCCUGAGGCAGCCAUGCCGCGUGUAUGAAGAAGGCCUUCGGGUUGUAAAGUACUUUCAGUUGUGAGGAAGGGGGUAGUGUUAAUAGCACUAUCUCUUGACGUUAGCAACAGAAGAAGCACCGGCUAACUCCGUGCCAGCAGCCGCGGUAAUACGGAGGGUGCGAGCGUUAAUCGGAAUUACUGGGCGUAAAGCGCAUGCAGGUGGUUCAUUAAGUCAGAUGUGAAAGCCCGGGGCUCAACCUCGGAACUGCAUUUGAAACUGGUGAACUAGAGUACUGUAGAGGGGGGUAGAAUUUCAGGUGUAGCGGUGAAAUGCGUAGAGAUCUGAAGGAAUACCAGUGGCGAAGGCGGCCCCCUGGACAGAUACUGACACUCAGAUGCGAAAGCGUGGGGAGCAAACAGGAUUAGAUACCCUGGUAGUCCACGCCGUAAACGAUGUCUACUUGGAGGUUGUGGCCUUGAGCCGUGGCUUUCGGAGCUAACGCGUUAAGUAGACCGCCUGGGGAGUACGGUCGCAAGAUUAAAACUCAAAGGAAUUGACGG
rnacentral:rRNA from 1 species